UUAAGCGACUAAGCGUACACGGUGGAUGCCCUGGCAGUCAGAGGCGAUGAAGGACGUGCUAAUCUGCGAUAAGCGUCGGUAAGGUGAUAUGAACCGUUAUAACCGGCGAUUUCCGAAUGGGGAAACCCAGUGUGUUUCGACACACUAUCAUUAACUGAAUCCAUAGGUUAAUGAGGCGAACCGGGGGAACUGAAACAUCUAAGUACCCCGAGGAAAAGAAAUCAACCGAGAUUCCCCCAGUAGCGGCGAGCGAACGGGGAGCAGCCCAGAGCCUGAAUCAGUGUGUGUGUUAGUGGAAGCGUCUGGAAAGGCGCGCGAUACAGGGUGACAGCCCCGUACACAAAAAUGCACAUGCUGUGAGCUCGAUGAGUAGGGCGGGACACGUGGUAUCCUGUCUGAAUAUGGGGGGACCAUCCUCCAAGGCUAAAUACUCCUGACUGACCGAUAGUGAACCAGUACCGUGAGGGAAAGGCGAAAAGAACCCCGGCGAGGGGAGUGAAAAAGAACCUGAAACCGUGUACGUACAAGCAGUGGGAGCACGCUUAGGCGUGUGACUGCGUACCUUUUGUAUAAUGGGUCAGCGACUUAUAUUCUGUAGCAAGGUUAACCGAAUAGGGGAGCCGAAGGGAAACCGAGUCUUAACUGGGCGUUAAGUUGCAGGGUAUAGACCCGAAACCCGGUGAUCUAGCCAUGGGCAGGUUGAAGGUUGGGUAACACUAACUGGAGGACCGAACCGACUAAUGUUGAAAAAUUAGCGGAUGACUUGUGGCUGGGGGUGAAAGGCCAAUCAAACCGGGAGAUAGCUGGUUCUCCCCGAAAGCUAUUUAGGUAGCGCCUCGUGAAUUCAUCUCCGGGGGUAGAGCACUGUUUCGGCAAGGGGGUCAUCCCGACUUACCAACCCGAUGCAAACUGCGAAUACCGGAGAAUGUUAUCACGGGAGACACACGGCGGGUGCUAACGUCCGUCGUGAAGAGGGAAACAACCCAGACCGCCAGCUAAGGUCCCAAAGUCAUGGUUAAGUGGGAAACGAUGUGGGAAGGCCCAGACAGCCAGGAUGUUGGCUUAGAAGCAGCCAUCAUUUAAAGAAAGCGUAAUAGCUCACUGGUCGAGUCGGCCUGCGCGGAAGAUGUAACGGGGCUAAACCAUGCACCGAAGCUGCGGCAGCGACGCUUAUGCGUUGUUGGGUAGGGGAGCGUUCUGUAAGCCUGUGAAGGUGUACUGUGAGGUAUGCUGGAGGUAUCAGAAGUGCGAAUGCUGACAUAAGUAACGAUAAAGCGGGUGAAAAGCCCGCUCGCCGGAAGACCAAGGGUUCCUGUCCAACGUUAAUCGGGGCAGGGUGAGUCGACCCCUAAGGCGAGGCCGAAAGGCGUAGUCGAUGGGAAACAGGUUAAUAUUCCUGUACUUGGUGUUACUGCGAAGGGGGGACGGAGAAGGCUAUGUUGGCCGGGCGACGGUUGUCCCGGUUUAAGCGUGUAGGCUGGUUUUCCAGGCAAAUCCGGAAAAUCAAGGCUGAGGCGUGAUGACGAGGUACUACGGUGCUGAAGCAACAAAUGCCCUGCUUCCAGGAAAAGCCUCUAAGCAUCAGGUAACAUCAAAUCGUACCCCAAACCGACACAGGUGGUCAGGUAGAGAAUACCAAGGCGCUUGAGAGAACUCGGGUGAAGGAACUAGGCAAAAUGGUGCCGUAACUUCGGGAGAAGGCACGCUGAUACGUAGGUGAAGUCCCUCGCGGAUGGAGCUGAAAUCAGUCGAAGAUACCAGCUGGCUGCAACUGUUUAUUAAAAACACAGCACUGUGCAAACACGAAAGUGGACGUAUACGGUGUGACGCCUGCCCGGUGCCGGAAGGUUAAUUGAUGGGGUUAGCGGUAACGCGAAGCUCUUGAUCGAAGCCCCGGUAAACGGCGGCCGUAACUAUAACGGUCCUAAGGUAGCGAAAUUCCUUGUCGGGUAAGUUCCGACCUGCACGAAUGGCGUAAUGAUGGCCAGGCUGUCUCCACCCGAGACUCAGUGAAAUUGAACUCGCUGUGAAGAUGCAGUGUACCCGCGGCAAGACGGAAAGACCCCGUGAACCUUUACUAUAGCUUGACACUGAACAUUGAGCCUUGAUGUGUAGGAUAGGUGGGAGGCUUUGAAGUGUGGACGCCAGUCUGCAUGGAGCCGACCUUGAAAUACCACCCUUUAAUGUUUGAUGUUCUAACGUUGACCCGUAAUCCGGGUUGCGGACAGUGUCUGGUGGGUAGUUUGACUGGGGCGGUCUCCUCCUAAAGAGUAACGGAGGAGCACGAAGGUUGGCUAAUCCUGGUCGGACAUCAGGAGGUUAGUGCAAUGGCAUAAGCCAGCUUGACUGCGAGCGUGACGGCGCGAGCAGGUGCGAAAGCAGGUCAUAGUGAUCCGGUGGUUCUGAAUGGAAGGGCCAUCGCUCAACGGAUAAAAGGUACUCCGGGGAUAACAGGCUGAUACCGCCCAAGAGUUCAUAUCGACGGCGGUGUUUGGCACCUCGAUGUCGGCUCAUCACAUCCUGGGGCUGAAGUAGGUCCCAAGGGUAUGGCUGUUCGCCAUUUAAAGUGGUACGCGAGCUGGGUUUAGAACGUCGUGAGACAGUUCGGUCCCUAUCUGCCGUGGGCGCUGGAGAACUGAGGGGGGCUGCUCCUAGUACGAGAGGACCGGAGUGGACGCAUCACUGGUGUUCGGGUUGUCAUGCCAAUGGCACUGCCCGGUAGCUAAAUGCGGAAGAGAUAAGUGCUGAAAGCAUCUAAGCACGAAACUUGCCCCGAGAUGAGUUCUCCCUGACUCCUUGAGAGUCCUGAAGGAACGUUGAAGACGACGACGUUGAUAGGCCGGGUGUGUAAGCGCAGCGAUGCGUUGAGCUAACCGGUACUAAUGAACCGUGAGGCUUAACCUU
rnacentral:rRNA from 1 species